rnacentral:rRNA from 1 species
UGGGGAAUAUUGCACAAUGGGCGCAAGCCUGAUGCAGCCAUGCCGCGUGUGUGAAGAAGGCCUUCGGGUUGUAAAGCACUUUCAGCGAGGAGGAAGGUGGUGAGCUUAAUACGCUCAUCAAUUGACGUUACUCGCAGAAGAAGCACCGGCUAACUCCGUGCCAGCAGCCGCGGUAAUACGGAGGGUGCAAGCGUUAAUCGGAAUUACUGGGCGUAAAGCGCACGCAGGCGGUUUGUUAAGUCAGAUGUGAAAUCCCCGGGCUCAACCUGGGAACUGCAUUUGAAACUGGCAAGCUAGAGUCUCGUAGAGGGGGGUAGAAUUCCAGGUGUAGCGGUGAAAUGCGUAGAGAUCUGGAGGAAUACCGGUGGCGAAGGCGGCCCCCUGGACGAAGACUGACGCUCAGGUGCGAAAGCGUGGGGCAGCAAACAGGAUUAGAUACCCUGGUAGUCCACGCUGUAAAACGAUGUCGAUUUUGGAGGUUGUGCCCUUGAGGCGUGGCUUCCGGAGCUAACGCGUUAAAUCGACCGCCUGGGGAGUACGGCCGCAAGGUUAAAACUUAAAUGAAUUGACGGGGUUC